rnacentral:lncRNA from 1 species
CUGCCCAAAGGGAAAGUCCAGGGAUGGUGUUGAAAUUCCGUUCUGAGCUAGAGGGCUGUUUUAACAGAGAAAGGAAUCUAUAAUUGGCAAGAAAGACCAAGCUUAAUGUCAAAGCCGUUUGAUAAGUCUGAGAUCACAGAAUGUCUAGGCCAAGACUUAGUCAGAAUGAAACAUGUUUCUGGAGAACAGGAAGCAAGGCCACAUGCUGAGCAGGAGGAGCCAGCACAGGGUGGAGUAGUGAAGGGCCACUCUGCCGCAGCCGCGUCUCAAUGGGUCUCACUCUGUCACCCAGGCUGGAGUGCAGUGGCGCAAUCUCAGCUCACUGAAGCCUUGACCUCCCAGACUCAGGUGAUCCUCACACUUCAGCCUCCUGAGUAGCCAGGACUACAGGAUUUCACUGUGGCACAAAAUGUUCCUGCGGUCCAAAAUUGAGAAGGGAAUUGAAACAAGGGAAAUUUUACUGUUAUGAAAUAUAAUAAAUAGUGCUUGCUUUACU